UAAUAUGGUAUGAUAUGAAAAAUGAGUAAAAAUGAGUCAUAGUAUAGUGUAACCUAAGUGUCAUUUUAAACCUUCAUGUCCUCUGAUUUUCUACUUUUGCCUUUUAGCCUUAAUCUCGCGAUGUUUUAAUAACCUUAGGAGUGAUUCUCGCGAGAUUAUUUAGCCAAUCGUGGCUAAGUAUUGGGGUCACGUGUACCGUCGCAGUUUAUUGGCUCGGUAUAUUAGCUGGAGCGAAAGGCAUGAAGGUUAGAUCGCGUCGGAAGGAGCAGAGCUGGCAGGUCAGUUAAAGCGUAGUAUCAUUUAAUGUCUGUAAAUAUGUACGAUGCUCACUUAAUGUACUGAACUGUAGGAGCCCAUUAUUGUGAGCCGGAAAGGGAGAUGGAAAAGAUCCGGUAGUAUGACACAAAACUGCGGAACUGGCCAGAUGGAUGGUGAGCUAUGAGACCAGGCCUAGAGCCAAGGAAGGAAUUCACCUGUUGGUGAUUAAGGACUGUUUACUUCUCCUACCCAGCCGGUAGGAGAAUCCUACAAAGGACUCUGCUCCUUCUUUGAUUGGACUUUCAUUUACCCAAGACGUGAAUCAAGCUCCGGAUACUCGCCUUGUUGGUGAGCCUGAUUGAUCCCCAUUCGGGGUGGAUGGACUAAGGGGGGGUGUGAGAUGAACUUUAACUUUGGGACCGAUUAAUUAAUUAGUUUUUUUUUUUAAUUGUUUAAAUCACUCAAGUUUUAUUACAAAAUAAUUACAAAGUAAAAAAAAAAGGAAACAAAA